UAGUCAAUCUGGCAGUCUGGAAUAAUACAAAAAUAAAAACACAAUGUCUUUCAUUAUAACGAAUAAUUUUUAAUUAUAUGAUGCUUAGCCUACUCCUGGUUUUUGGCACUGGAGAAUUGAUUUCAUUGCUGUUAUCUUUCUAUAAGUUCUUCCUCACGUUUUAUAGGGAACUGUUCCCGAAUGGGAUUCAAUUCCCCCUUCUCCUUUACCAGCUGCUUUAUUAAAACAGUUUGAUCCGCUAAAAUUUGGACCACUGCAUUCAAUUGAUCUAAAAACAAUGUUGUUAAUUAAUUUGAUUAUACAAAUAUUUUUCUGUUAAUCUUUAUUAGUCUUAACACGAAUAACUUCAUUCUCCUGUUUUAGAGUUUCUAAAAGUAUUUGCACGUACCUGUUUAUAUUAAUUUGAUUUAUUUAUUAAUUCUUUUCCAUUUUUUUAAUAAAUGUUCACACAAAAGACUCUUCCAGCGAUUAGAUCUUGUACAGAUGUGAACAAAAUCAACGCAUAAAGCAAACGAGGAAAACAAAUGCAUUUUGUUUGUGUAAAUUCUUGUCUCUUUCAUUCCACGAUCGCAACUACAGUAAAAUAUCACGAUUAACUUACCAUUUCGGUGCUCAUUGCAUGUCGUUUCUCGGUAAAAACUAGCUGAGUGGGCACUGUAACUUCACGGAAUUGCGGUUAUUUGCCGCCUUCAAAAACAAACCGAAGGCGGCUUCGUUUUUCGGUUCUUUUUCGACUGGUCCGCGUUCGCUUCCCGCGUAACUAGUUGCGUAGCUAGUUGCGCGGUAAACAGCGCAGAACUAGUUCGAGAGGGGUCAAUUGACCCCUGUGGUUCUACAGGGAACAUUCUCCAGCCAGUCUCAGCCUCGGCUUUGGCUUCGACUUCGGCCAGGGUUAAAAAUAUGCCCACGACCAGCAGCAGCGGACGGACCAGCGAAACAGCAGAGCCACAUCACAUCAGUCCGGGCCCGGGGUUGCUCUGCUCGGCCAUCUUCCAUCUCUCUCUCUGCUCCCCGAUCAGGUCUCUUUGCGUCCACGUACGCGUAACCACAAUUGUGGUCAAAUAAAUAGCAAUGCAAAUGAAAGUUCUGCUAAUUUCCCUGAAAAGUUUUCCAGCAUGUCUAUUACAUCUCUUCCUCAGAGUGUUUUUAAAGAAUAACAGUAGGUGCCCAUCAGGCUUCUUAUAUGAAGAUCUUUCGACUAAAACUGAGACAUGUUCUGUGGGUAGCGUCUGUGUUGCUAUUAUUUUGACCGCUGCUGUGUUCCUGUUCGGCUCUUUGCAAUCUGCUGUCUGUGUGUCACGCUUAUGAUUUAAUAAGCAAAUGAGCUGCAAAAUUGAUGAAACUGUUGUUUGGCCUCCCCUCCCCUCCCCUCCCGCCCUGCACCACUUCCACGGGAGCCGCCGCCAAACCACGCCCGAAAUCACAGUCCGGCGAUCUCCCCCUCCGUAUCGAAAUGCUUUUCCAGUGCGUCACACACAGAAAGUGGGCGUUUACCCCCACAUUCCAUUCCAUUCCAUUUCAUUCAAUUCCAUUCCAUUCCAUUCCCACAUUCGGUUCCCGGGUGAUUUCUUUGCACUGCCAAAUAUUUGUACCGAUUAAGCAAUUGGAGGAUUAUUAUUACCUUUAUCACUCGAUCAAUAAGCUGGGAUUUCGAAAUCAUAAUUAUUUGUAUGGGGAGUGUUUCAGACGACUCAAACGACACAGAGAAUAAUCUGGCCAAAUGCAGAUAACGCAGCGAUCAGUGGAAUUCCCUCGAAUAUGCCACAGCGUAGAAUGUGGAAGUGUAAACUCUCUAAUGGUCUGGUCAGGGUCCUGUCCUGGGUCAGAGCGGAAGCAAAUAUUGAUAAGCCCAGGGAACGGCUCGAGAAAAGAGCUCGAACCCAAACCAAAUUCGAGCCAAGACCACAGAAGCCGCAGGCAAAUAGAGCCAUUCCAGAUAGUGGAACAUGUGAAAAUGCAUUUGGCCGUGAUUAGUCCUGCAUGUCAGUUGGGUCUCUUCUGGGCCUGGCAUAUCGUUUUACAGAAUUUUCCAAUUGUCAACUACCUGCGCGAGAGAAAGAGAGACCCGGGACAGAUAAGGCGUAGAGUGUCUCGGAAGAGGGGGACAAGUCUGUUCUUUCUUCCCCUCUUGUCAAUGGGCACAACUGGGCCAAGCCGCGCCAUUUAGCAAAAUUAGAGUUGGGGGGCAACGCUAAAAAUAGCCACGUUCAGGCGUUCGUUCCUCCGAGCACCCAGAGUAGAGUCCCUGACAGCUGCAUUGUUUUGGGAAAAUGCUCUUGAAAUUUGAGACGUCUGCAAGGAGAAGCAGGAAACCAGCCCCGAACCAACGAGGACGACCAAAGCGGGAGAGAGAUAGAAA